rnacentral:rRNA from 1 species
UACGUAGGGGGCCAGCGUUGCUCGGAAUUACUGGGCGUAAAGGGUUCGUAGGUGGUGCGGCAAGUUGGGAGUGAAAUCUCUGGGCUUAACUCAGAGGCUGCUUUCAAAACUGCCGCGCUCGAGUGCGAGAGAGGUCAGUGGAAUUGCAGGUGUAGCGGUGAAAUGCGUAGAUAUCUGCAGGAACACCCGUGGCGAAGGCGGCUGACUGGAUCGCAACUGACACUGACGAACGAAAGCUAGGGGAGCAAACAGG